UGUGAAACAUGGAAAUCAAUGCGGGCGAUCCGUCUGUGAGGGAGAAUUGAGGGGAUCCAGCCGACGCUGGCGAGCAGUCAAGCGGAAAGGGGAUGCAAAGCAGCCGAGCAGCCAUGCGCGUCUCCCCGGCUGAUGCGGAAACGGGAUGCGAACCUGAUCCGCCGGCAUUUGAUGUGAGCAGUAGAUCUUCCGUUUCUCAAAUCCAUUAAUGGUUGUUAAGGUGCAUUAUUUAUCUCGUCGCAUGUCCGCGUGCGUACAUAAGCUCUGCCCCUUGCGCUUUCUCCUUCCCCAAAUAAUAAUCUGGCAAACGCACCUCGACAAUUUCCUCUUUAUCAUGUUACUCUAUUUUGUUCGGAUUUUACUUCGAAUUGCUGGAAAAAAAAUCCGACCUCAGUUUUCUACAGGUGCUAUCAGAUACUAAUUGAUCGAAAUUUGUUCGGAGAACUAGGGAAGGUCGGUUCCGGUAUAUAUGCGUUUGGCAGUGAAGGUUUGAGAAUUGGAGAAUUGGGGAAGGUUUGUUCAAUGAAGGUUGGUCGCAAAGCCAUCAAUUCUCAUGGGCUUUUUCGAGUGCUUUGCAAGUACACAUGAUGGUUCAAAUGGGGACGACAUGCUAUUGAUUUUCACGCCCGCUAUGUGCUCUUCCUCACCCCCAGGCAAGAUCCAAAGGUAUUGAAUCUUCGCUCCUCCACUACUGCUCAUUGCCCUUCGGAGGCUCAAUUUUGUUCCUUAAUCCCCUCUGUUUGUAUUUCCACCUUACUUUGCCUGAGGAUUAACAGGACCCUCGUAUUGGUUGAUUGCCCGGCCGGGAUGUGGUGCUGCAAAAUAAACGCCCAGUUCGUCCAAAGAGUAAGAUUGGUGCCUUCCUUAUCAUGUUUCUUUGUUGUGAUAAGACAUUAUACGCCAUAUCUCUAGAUUUUCUGAAACCUGUGCUAAAAGUUGUCUACUUGAGUGUGACCUUCAUUGCCUAGGCUAUCUUAUCUUAUAAUUUUGAUGUGCUUCUUCUUAUGUGAGAAAUACUGGACCAGUAGCGUAUUUAAGUCUGUAUUCCCCUACUCAACCCCAUUAGUUGCUUUCCUAAUUUAUUUCCAUGACUUUGCUUAUUGCUUCUUAAAAAUAGCUAGAAAUGCUUAAUUACGGGAUUGACAGUGUUCUGAGCUUCAGAUUCAUCAAGGCGUCAGAGCGAGCAACAACAUUCUCCUGUAUUUUUUGCAGUGAAUGUAUGAUUCUUUCCUGCCAUGUUGCCAAGUUUGAACCUAGCUAUUUGAUGCUGUCAUCCGAUGUGUUAUUGUAAGUUGUAUCAACUAGACGGAUUACAUCAAUUCAUAGUGUUUUAUUCAUUGCCACUAUCUGAAGCAAUAUGUUAGAUGUAUUAAUGUUUGGUGGGUGCCAAUCAAGGAGAUACAUCCUAACAUAGUGCUGCCAGCUAGCUGGUCGGAUCAAUGACUGAUCAUCGAUGGUGUAAAAAUAUUAGAUAAGUGUCCCUUGGUCCAUGAUAUGAGUAGUUAUUUAAAUAGCACACUAAGAAAAUUUCAACAUAAGCAUCUUUCCUCAUGCACUCGCCAACAGCGCGUCAUGGGUGAAGCUCAAUGCUUCUUUGGACCUCUGAUAUCGAAGCCAGAGAAAACAUCGUUGACACAACAACUGAGAGAUUGUUAGUCAAAGCUAGAAGAUGUCGAUGAUAACAACCUGAAAAACUAAUUGCCGCCCCGAAGAACAAGGCUAUGAAGAAAGUUGGACGACAAUCCCAGGUCUGGACAGACAGGUCCAUGGAACAUAACCUUUUGAAGCUCCUCGAUGACGCAUAGUUGGCUGAGCAUCAUGUCACGCCCAAUAUGCGACCCUAUCCAAGAGGAACUCGAAGGUCCCACCAAGGAUAGACCCGCAUAUUGAAAACGCUUUUGCAAGGUGGAUAUCAUUACAUCAACAUUACAUAAUAGAUGGGGAUACAUACAAGAGGCAUACAAAUGCCGCAAGAAUACAUCAAUACAACAAACAUAAGAACAACAUCCGACUACGGAUGAAACACAAACAGAAGCUCAAACGACAUCCACCCUGCUAGCCCAGGCUGCCGACCUGGAACCUAUCCUCUGAUCGAAGAAGAAGCAGAAGAAGAACUCCAAAACAAGUAACAUCGCUCUCGCGUCAUGAUCAUCGCAAAACCUGUACCUGCAACUGUUGUUGUAGUAAUCUGUGAGCCACAAGGACUCAGCAAUCCCAUUACCAUGGGUAUCAAGACUAGCAAAGCUUAAUGGGUAAGGAAGGGGGUAAAGUGGUGAGGUUGCAGCACCGACUAAGCAAGUAUGAUGGCUAACAUACGCAAACAAGAGCGAGAAGAGAAACAAUGGAACGGUCGUCAACUAGCAGUGAUCAAGAAGUGAUCCUGAACUCCUACUUACGUCAAAUAUAACCCAAAAACCGUGUUCACUUCCCGGACUCCGCCGAAAAGAGACCAUCACGGUUACACACGCGGUUGAUGCGUUUUAAUUAAGUCAAGUGUCAAGUUCUCUAUAACCGGACAUUAACAAAUUCCCAUCUGCCACAUAACCGCGGGCACGGCUUUCGAAAGAUAAUACCCUGCAGGGGUGUCCCAACUUAGCCCAUUAUAAGCUCUCACGGUCAACGAAGGAUAUUCCUUCUCCCAGGAAAACCCGAUCAGUCUCGGAAUCCCGGUUUACAAGACAUUUCGACAAUGGUAAAACAAGACCAGCAAAGCCGCCCGAUGUGCCGACAAUCCCGAUAGGAGCUGCACAUAUCUCGUUCUCAGGGCAACACCGGAUGAGCUAAGCGUACAGGUACCGACGUAACCCAAGUUGCCAAGGGAUGGUCCCGCACGGUGCUCUAGUUUGGACCAACACUCCGAGGAGCACUGGCCGGGGGGGGGUAAUAUAAGAUGACCCUCGGGAGCGCGACUCCCAAGGGAAAAAGGCUAGGUGAGGCAAAUGUAAAACCAAGGUUGGGCCUUGCUGGAGGAGUUUUAUUCAAAGCGAACUGUCAAGGGGUCCCCAUAACAACCCGACCGCGUAAGGAACGCAAAAUCAAGGAACAUAACACCGGUAUGACGGAAACUAGGGCGGCAAGAGUGGAACAAAACACCAGGCAUAAGGCCGAGCCUUCCAUCCUUUACCAAGUAUAUAGAUGCAUUAAUUAAAUAAGAGAUAUUGUGAUAUCCCAACAUAAACAUGAUCCGACAUGGAGCAAUCUUCAUCUUCACCUGCAACUAGCAACGCUAUAAGAGGGGCUGAGCAAAGGCGGUAACAUAGCCAAACAACGGUUUGCUAGGAAGGGUGAAAAAGGUUAGAGGCUAUCAUGGCAAUUUGGGAGGCUUGAAGAGCAAGUGAUAGGUAGCGCAGCAUAGCGAUAGAACGAAGCAACUAGCAUAGCAAUGAUAGUAGUAAGAUUCAGGGUAACGGUCAUCUUGCCUGAAAUCCCACUAGGAAGACGAACGAGUCCAUGAAGAAGAUGAAGCCACGAAGACGAACCAAGCGUAGACGAACGAAUCCUCACGGUCGCAACGAAACGGGAACUAUCGAGAAGAAGCACACAACAUGGUAAACACACCACACAAGAACAAGGCAUGAUGCUCAAUCAAGUAUGAUGCAUGACAAGGCUACAUGAAGCUACUCAUGGCAAGAGAUGAUGCAUACAAGAGCAACACAUCAAAGCAAGUUUAAAUGAGGCCGGAAACAACAUAUAACAAUUCCGGUAAAUCCCCAUAUGCAAAUUUCGAAAUUGGCCCAGAUCUGACUAAACCUUAUGUUCAAGUUGUUAAACAGCAAGUUAAGAUGCACCAAGAUGAUCUACACGAAAAUCUAGUCAAGUUACAUAUAAAGUUUAUUUAGUUCGGAGCUACGGCCUACAAGAUAUGAGCAAAACAAGUUAAACAUGGCAUUGAUGCAAAAUGCAUUCAAACAUCAAGCAAACACACUCAAGAUAAGGAUGCAACAUGAUAAGAUGAAACUACAUGCAAUUCCAAGCAAGUUUCAUAUAGAGCAUGCUCAAAACGGAGCAACGGUGCAACACAUACACUCCAAACAAGAUAUAACAACAAUCUGUCCAAAACAGAAACUAGGCAUCUUGCAAGCAUCAAAACAAUAUGCUACAGCACCUCAACGUGAAAACAAAACACAUGGACGUGAUGUACAGGUAAAGCAUGACAAAACAUGAACACUGAGCUAUCUCCAUAAAUCACUAGAACAUGCUCAAAAGGACAUGGCAAGAUUGCAAAUAAUAACAAUUUCACAGACUUGGCAGAAUUCACUAGACAUGACAGAAAUAACAACAGGUUGCAAUAUUUAGAGCUAUCCAACAACAUGCUACAGGAACAUAUAAUAGCAAACAAAAGAAUGGAAUGGAUCUACUAAUUGCAUAGAACAAAAGUCCCUUACUGAUCACGAGCCAAAAAGGUACAUAAGAUAUGAUGGCACCCAUGUAAACAUAGCAAGUUUUAUAAACAGAUUCAGACUUGGCAGAAAAACUGAGCAUGUCAUAAACAGAAUUAUGAAGGCAUCUUUGCGAGAUCAAAUCACUCACCACAAAGCAUUUCUUGGCAUGUGAAGGUAACUCACAGCAAGAAGACAAGUUCAUGAAGCUAAGCAUGGUAAUAGCAAGUUCAUAGGGUGCAUGGAUCACUAGCAAAACACAUGUCAAAACUGAACUUCACGUUAACAGGCUGACAACAACAUUAUUUAGAAAGUUUGGAGCAAGAUUAUAACAAGCUACAGCAGGCCACAAAUUCAAACAAGGGCAUGGAUGGAUAGAGCAUAACAUGUGUAAUAAAACAUCCUUAGUGAACAUCUCCAGAUUAUGCAUAGAACUCAUGGUGACAGCAGGUUUACAUGGCAUCACAAUGUUACAGCUACAGACUUAGCAGAAAAGACCAAGUCACAGAAAUCAGCAACAUCAGGGAGGCUACUUGGCAUGCUUGUGCUAGUCACCACAUAGAUCACAAAAAAUAUAAUACAAGUACCCCUGUAAAGAUAGCAUGAUGUAGUUCAAAACACAUGUAGAACUCAUGCUCAUAGGAUGCACACACAAAAUGCAAUGAAAAAGACAAAUCACCAAGCUCUGUAAACAGACAGCAGUUAACAUCAUAUAGCACUCUGGCAACGAUGAUUAAGGCAUCAAGAUGGACUCAAACAAACAUGACACAAUGGAAUGAAAUGAAGAGCAUCUCAUGAUGAACAUUUUGAUAUAUUAUACAUGCAAAUCGGAGCAGCGAGCACGAAGUUACAGCAGGUCAAAUUAUGCACUAUAAAAUGAUUUCUCAGGGACUUAACCAGAAAUAUACCCUCCGAAAAAUUGGACGGGGAGGACCCUGGACGGCGCGGAGCGGGACGGGGAAGCGCGUUUGGAUGGCCGGGCGGGUGGAUCUCGUCCCACCCGCCGGAUCCGGCGACGAGGCGCCCGGCGACGGGGCCGGCGAGGUCGACAGGCGGCNNNNNNNNNNNNNNNNNNNNNNNNNNNNNNNNNNNNNNNNNNNNNNNNNNNNNNNNNNNNNNNNNNNNNNNNNNNNNNNNNNNNNNNNNNNNNNNNNNNNNNNNNNNNNNNNNNNNNNNNNNNNNNNNNNNNNNNNNNNNNNNNNNNNNNNNNNNNNNNNNNNNNNNNNNNNNNNNNNNNNNNNNNNNNNNNNNNNNNNNNNNNNNNNNNNNNNNNNNNNNNNNNNNNNNNNNNNNNNNNNNNNNNNNNNNNNNNNNNNNNNNNNNNNNNNNNNNNNNNNNNNNNNNNNNNNNNNNNNNNNNNNNNNNNNNNNNNNNAAGCCGGGCCGGGGAGGGCCUGGCUCGGGCUCGGCGGGCCUGCUGUGGAGGGGAGCCGGCGGGGCGACGUGGCAGCGCCGAAUUGGCUACGGACGGCGGCGGGAUUUCGUCCAGCGCGAGUUGGACGUGUCCGGCGGCGGAGUGGGGAAGAUUGCUAGGGUUUCAUCUGCGAAUUUGGACGGGAAGGGCAUAUUUAUAGCUAGAUGGAGCUAGAAGAGUCCAAAUGAGGCGUGAUUUUCGCCCACACGAUCAUGAUCGAACGACCGAGAGCAUGGAGGGGUUUUGAAUGGGCUCAUGGGGUGUUGGGCUGCACAAAAGUGGGAUUUACGGUUACCCGGUUAAUCGUUGGGGCAUCAAACGACCUUCAAAUGGAACGAAAUUUGACGGGCGGUCUACCGGUGCUAUACCAAGGCCACUCGGCAAAUCUCGGCCCAUUCCGAGAAAGUUUUUCUCCCGCUGACGAAACAAGGUCUGAGAGGGGCGACGGGCGCGUGCGAGUGUGGUUGGACUCAGAACGGACAACAGAAAGAACCGACGGAACCCGAAUGGAUGCAAGUUUUGAAAAACAUGCAGAUGAUGACAUGGUAAAAUGCAACACGCAGGCAAAUGACAUGGCACCGACGACGAAUAACUGGAAGACACCUGGCGCAUCGAUUCGGGGCGUUACACAUCAUCAGUUGAAGGAGGAGCUAGAUGACCAUUGUCUUUGAUGGUGUCGCUCCAUCAUUGGUCAAAGGCGAUCUUGAACCCUUCUUUGUGGUGUUUUCUACGUGGGUUAGGCAUGAGGAAUAAUUUGUGUAGGUUUUUUACUGGCCGGAGUUGGGUGUGUUGUUGUAACUGACUUAAGUGGAUGGGCUCCCCACCACUUUUUCCUGGUGGGUUUUUUAUGCAUGCUUGUGCGUAUUCAGGCAAAAAAAAAGACAUGAGAUUGAUGAGGUAUUUAUGUACACUUCAAUAAAAAAAUCCUUCG
rnacentral:lncRNA from 1 species